rnacentral:tRNA from 1 species
CGCGGGAUGGAGCAGCUAGGUCGCUCGUCGGGCUCAUAACCCGAAGGUCGUAGGUUCAAAUCCUGCUCCCGCAA